rnacentral:rRNA from 1 species
AGAGUUUGAUCAUGGCUCAGAUUGAACGCUGGCGGCAGGCCUAACACAUGCAAGUCGAACGGUAACAGGAAGCAGCUUGCUGCUUUGCUGACGAGUGGCGGACGGGUGAGUAAUGUCUGGGAAACUGCCUGAUGGAGGGGGAUAACUACUGGAAACGGUAGCUAAUACCGCAUAACGUCGCAAGACCAAAGAGGGGGACCUUAGGGCCUCUUGCCAUCGGAUGUGCCCAGAUGGGAUUAGCUAGUAGGUGGGGUAACGGCUCACCUAGGCGACGAUCCCUAGCUGGUCUGAGAGGAUGACCAGCCACACUGGAACUGAGACACGGUCCAGACUCCUACGGGAGGCAGCAGUGGGGAAUAUUGCACAAUGGGCGCAAGCCUGAUGCAGCCAUGCCGCGUGUAUGAAGAAGGCCUUCGGGUUGUAAAGUACUUUCAGCGGGGAGGAAGGGAGUAAAGUUAAUACCUUUGCUCAUUGACGUUACCCGCAGAAGAAGCACCGGCUAACUCCGUGCCAGCAGCCGCGGUAAUACGGAGGGUGCAAGCGUUAAUCGGAAUUACUGGGCGUAAAGCGCACGCAGGCGGUUUGUUAAGUCAGAUGUGAAAUCCCCGGGCUCAACCUGGGAACUGCAUCUGAUACUGGCAAGCUUGAGUCUCGUAGAGGGGGGUAGAAUUCCAGGUGUAGCGGUGAAAUGCGUAGAGAUCUGGAGGAAUACCGGUGGCGAAGGCGGCCCCCUGGACGAAGACUGACGCUCAGGUGCGAAAGCGUGGGGAGCAAACAGGAUAGAUACCCUGGUAGUCCAC